UCUUCCCAAACAAUUCAGUCCUAAAGCCACUGGAGGGGCAGAGCAAAGUGGGGGUCUCUGGAGUGCACGUGGGGAAUGCGACGCCAUGGUGGGAUGUUAGCGCACAAGUGAGAUGAGGAGGGCGUCCAUGUCAACAAAGAGGGCAUUCUGUUUUUCCCUAAAAAGUUUGGGUGGGGAAGGAGGCUUCACAUAUCCAGGGUUUAUAAAACAAAAUAUGGUACAAACUAGAUGAGAAAUACCUGUAGGACACAAACUGUACAACACAAGUGGCCUAAAUGUCAGUAAAACAGCAGCUGGGGGAGCCGACAGCGACUGGAGGAAGAGGAGAGGCAGGACACAAGGCCAUGGGGCAUGUGGGAGGCUCUGACAACGAGGAGCAAGGCGCUCACGUCCGCUAUGACAGGACGCUGCAUGUCGUCUUCUGGUUCCUACUUCCCUUACGGCCUCGCUUGUUACCCGCCCCAGCCUCUCAUCGUGUACCCCAGGAAUACAGAACUACUUGCGCCCUGCCAUUUCUUACCUAGCAAAGAGAAUAUUCAUGCAAAAGGUCAAGAAACCAAUUCGGGUUUCAGUUUACACAAAAUUUGCUAAAUCGUCAUUACCCAUGUGACCAGAAUGACCCUGUUUUCAGAGGGCAUGUCCGCAGACCCUGAACAUUCAACAAACAUAUUCACGGUUCUGACUCUUCGGCAGCGACCUCCAAAUCCACACUGUGUAACGACUUGGAAGCUUGCUGAGGCACAAACAGGAAUCACGUCACUGCGAGACACGUGUACGGGGUGGAUCAUUUCACUGACGGGUGGCCUUGGCCAACCAGUAUAACCUCUGGAUAGUAUAACCUCUUGACCAGUCACCUUUCACCAAUAUUCAGGAUGAAGAGGUUGAGAAAGAGCUGGUAUUAAGCAAGCGGUCAUUUUCUGACCUUCAGCCCCACUACGUUUGCGGGAGAAAAGCUCGUGAGCGGCCUUUCCCCGUCUGACAGCUCCUGAGAUGUUAAGGCACCACGUGCUCCAUCACAUUCCCGUGGAGAAGACACCGAACGGGGUUCCGGAAGGGGGCUGUGCCUACUCUCUGGACCCUCAUCUCAGCUACUUCUCUGCGACAAACACGUUGUGGUUGGAAAAGAUGAUUGACAUGAUUUCAAUUUUCCUGAAUUACUGAGGCUCAUUUUGUGGCCCAGAAAGUGAUCAACCCUGGAGAAUAUUCUGUGUGCACUUGAGAAGAAUGUGUAUUCAGCUGCUUUGGAUGGAAUGCUCUAUAAACAUCAAGUUUCUGACUGACAGCGUCCAAAACCCUUAUAAUUUCCCAGGCAAUAAGAGCAAUGGGAGCAUUUUUUGUUAAAAUGUUUGGCCUCUUAUCCUCAGUUCCUGAUAUCUCUUCAAAACAAUAACGGAAGUCUCCAUAAAACCCUGAAAGCCCAGGUUUAGAAAACUUCCAGGUUGGUGAACGCUUGGAGAUUCGGGAAGGGUGCUGCACAUGGAAAGAGCAUGAAGACCUGAACUCUUCCCUCAUAUGUUGCCCUAUUCAUCUCUUCCAUCUGGCUGUUCCUGAAUUAUAUCCUUUUAUAAUAAACCAGUUUCCUAGUAA